rnacentral:misc_RNA from 1 species
AGAAUGUGUACUUCUUAAAUGCAAUGCAAAUCGCUGAAAGUGUUAAAACACUGCAAGCAUUAUAAUGAUUUGCAUUUUUUCAGUAAUUGAACAAAUACCAGCGGGCCGCCAGCGGGUCAGUUGCUGGUAACAAUUUGCAGAACGAUUCCACGGUGAUCGUUGCAUCGUCGUCAAUUAGUGAAAUCACUACUUUUCCGGCAGCCGCAACAAACGCUGGCCCAAGCCUGCAAAUUGUUGCCAGCAACUGACCCGUUGGCUGCCCACUAGCAUUUGUUCAACUACUCAAAAAUGCACUUUGUAAACAAACCUUUUGGGUGUUGGCCACAGCAAGCGGCUCAUCUGGAUGAAAUGAAAAGGCUGUUAGAUGUAAUGCAGCAACGUGCUCCCGAUGUUGAACAUCAGUUCAAAGAAAAGUCAAAUGAGUUGGAAAUGGCGCAGCUUAUCAUACGCCAGUUGUCGGAUAAGGCCAAUGUAAACCAAGGCCGCAAUCGGAUAGAGACCUCGACGCAGACGCAAUUUAUGUACGAGCAACAUAUUAGAAACUUACAAGCUAUGGUGCAACAAUUGACGUAUGAAAGGAAUUUAUGAUGGUCACAAAUAUAUUGGCAAAAACAUAGUAAGUGCAUAUGCAAGUUGGAAAAAUUGACAAUGCUGGCUAAAAAUAAGAGUCUUUUUAAUGAUCGACCGCAAUAGAUUCAAGAAUUGACUUACAUCAUGGUGUAUGCGUUACAAUCUAAAUUAGCCAGCAUGAGCACCGACUUCAAACAGAUACUAGAAGUGCGUAUAAAAAAUCUCAACCAACAAAAAGCGCGUCGGGAUCAAUUCGGGCAGUCGCCAAUUGCUGCUAGCACUGUUCGCUCGAGUACAGCGAAACAGGGCUCCUUGCUGUUAAGCGAAGAGAAUACGGCCGUAAGCAUUGACAUGGCCGCAAGUGAUACAACACCAUUGCUGGGUGCAGUCGGAGGUUGUGGAAUACAGACGCAGCAGCAGAUUGCAUUAUAUGAUGACUCCGAUAGUUACGUGCAACAGCGGGCUGAGACUAUGCAGAACAUUGAAUCGACUAUUGUCGAGCUAGGCGGUAUAUUUCAACAAUCAGCACAUAUGGUUAAGGAGCAAGAGGAGACUGUGGAGCGUAUCGAUACAAGCAUACAAAUAUUGAAGUACUUCCAAACUGAUGAUAAAAAUCUUCGCAGUACUGAUAUUCAUUUUUCAUAUUCUUCGUAGUUUUCCUUAUAUAAUAACGAAUAUGUUUGUGACACGGCAAGAUUUUAACAAGUUCAGAUGCGCGGUCUUAAAGUUGUGGGUUUUUAAAUACAUAAAUAUAUAAUAUCCUAUUCAUAUACAUACAUAUAAAAAACACUAAUGUAAUAAUGAAAUUAAGUCUUAUAUGCCACGUGAAACACGAUAGCUUUUAGAAGCAGUCACGUAGGAUUAGACACUAAUUCUGCCAAUAAUAAAAUUACUUCACUUAGUUUCACUUUUUUUCAAAAUUUUCUAUAAAAAGUAGAGAUGAUCCUGUAUAAUAAAACGAGAACCGAUUUAUGUAAUCAUAAAUAUAUAAAGAAAAGUUUAAAACUAAAUAAAAUAGAAAUUGUUAUUGGCAAUAAGUACA